rnacentral:sRNA from 1 species
GCCAGGCAUAUUGGUACAUACCUGUAAUCCCAGCCACUUGGGAGGCUAAGGCAAGAGGAUCAAAAGGUCAAGGUCAGCCUCAGCAAAUUAGUGAGGCCCUCAGCAACUUAGUGAGAUCCUGUCUUAA